rnacentral:hammerhead_ribozyme from 1 species
AUCCAGCUGACGAGUCCCGAAUAGGAGGAAACGCGCAUCCUGGAU